GGUUGAUCCUGCCGGAAGCGACCGCUAUUGGAGUUCGAUUAAGACAUGCGAGUCUGAGCAUUAGCUCGGCGUACCGCUCAGUAACACGUGGGUAACCUGCCCUACUGUUCGGAAUAACCUCGGGAAACUGAGAACAAUGCCGAAUAGUCCACCACGCCUGGAACGGUGGGUGGAUGAAGGUAGGAUGGGCCUGCGGCGUAUCAGGUUGUAGGGGGUGUAAUGGACCUCCUAGCCAUCGACGCGUACGGGUGUUGGGAGACAUAGCCCGGAGAUGGAUUCUGAGACACGAAUCCAGGCCCUACGGGGCGCAGCAGUUACGAAAACUUGGCAAUGCGGGAAACCGUGACCAGGGAACUCCAAGUGAGUCUCUUUUAGGGGCUCUUUUCAUGACUCUAAAACGGUCUUGGAAUAAGGGGUGGGUAAGGACGGUGCCAGCCGCCGCGGUAAUACCGGCGCCUCAAGUGGUCGUCGCUUUUAUUGGGCCUAAAACGUCCGUAGCCGGUUUGGUACAUUCAUGGGUAAAUCAACUCGCUCAACGAGUUGAAUUCUGCGAGGACGGCCAGACUAGGGACCGGGAGAGGUGUGGGGAACUCUCAGGGUAGGGGUAAAAU
rnacentral:rRNA from 1 species